rnacentral:rRNA from 1 species
UACGUAGGUGGCAAGCGUUGUCCGGAUUUACUGGGCGUAAAGAGCGCGCAGGCGGUCGUUCAAGUCGCGUGUGAAAGCCCCCGGCUCAACUGGGGAGGGUCACGCGAUACUGAUCGACUCGAAGGCAGGAGAGGGUAGUGGAAUUCCCGGUGUAGUGGUGAAAUGCGUAGAUAUCGGGAGGAACACCAGUGGCGAAGGCGACUACCUGGCGUGUUUCUUGACGCUGAGGCGCGAAAGCUAGGGGAGCAAACAGG